GAAUGUAAAAAUUUAUUAUUUAUAAUUAAAAAAAAUAUUUUUAUGUUUUAUUAUUUUAAAGAAAUAAUAAUUUUUAUUAUAGUAAAUUAGUAUAGUAGUAGAAUUUAAUUAUACAAUAUAAAUAAAAGAAGUAUUGAGUUUAUGUACCUUGUGUAUCAGGGUUUAUUAAUAAAGGGUUAGUGAAUUAAUUAUCUCGGUUUUAAAAGAGUUAAUUAUUUAUAUAUGUUAUUGUAAAAUAAAUAUUUAAAAUAAAUAAUUAGUAAUGAAAUGUUAUUCGUUUUUAAAUAUAUCUAGUUAUUAAAGAAAAAAAUUAAAUUUUACUUUUUUAUUUAUGUUGUAUAUUUGUUUUAAAUAUGUUAAUAAUAAAAAAAUUAAAUUAUUAGGGAUUAGCUUAAUAAUUGAUUAUUAAAAAUUUAUAUAAAUUUAUUAAAUUAGUAGAAUUAAUAAUAUUCAUCAUUUAAUUUGUUAUAAUUAUUUUAUUAAAUAUAAUAAUUUAUAUAUUAUUUUAAUUAUUUUAUUUAAUUAUUGAAUUCAAUAAAGUUAUUUAAGAAAUAAUGAUAAAAUUAGUAUAAUAUUAUGUAUAAAUUAAUUUAAUAAUUUAAUUAUAGAAAAGGAAUUCGGCAAAAUAAUUUUUCGCCUGUUUAUUAAAAACAUGUCUUUUUGUUAAUAAUUUAAAGUCUGGCCUGCCCAAUGAAUUUUUAAUGGCCGCAGUAUUUUGACUGUGCAAAGGUAGCAUAAUCAAUAGUUUCUUAAUUAGAAGCUGGAAUGAAAGGUUGAACGAAAAAAUUACUGUCUCUUUUGUAAUGUUAUUGAAUUUUAUUUUUAAGUUAAAAAGCUUAAAUAUAUUUAAAAGACGAGAAGACCCUAUAGAGUUUUAUAAAUACUUAUUUAAUAAAUUAUUUUUAAUAUUUUAAUUUUUAUUUAAAAAUUUAUUUGAUUGGGGUGAUUAAAAAAUUUAAAAAACUUUUUUUUUAAAAAAAAACAUAUUUUUAUGAUUAUUUGAUCCAUUUUUAUUAUGAUUAUAAGAUUAAAUUACCUUAGGGAUAACAGCGUAAUUUUUUUUUAGAGUUCAAAUUGAUAAAAAAGUUUGCGACCUCGAUGUUGGAUUAAAAUUUAUUUUUGGUGUAGAAGCUAAAAAAUUUAGGUCUGUUCGACCUUUAGAAUUUUACAUGAUCUGAGUUUAAACCGGUGUAAGCCAGGUUGGUUUCUAUCUUUAAAAAUUAAGAAAUAUUUUAGUACGAAAGGACCAAGUAUUUUUAAUAAUUAGUUUAAAUUGAAUAUAAUU
rnacentral:rRNA from 1 species